rnacentral:rRNA from 1 species
AAUGAACGCUGGCGGCAGGCCUAACACAUGCAAGUCGAACGAGUGGCGGACGGGUGAGUAAUGUCUGGGAAACUGCCUGAUGGAGGGGGAUAAAUACUGGAAACGGUAGCUAAUACCGCCUACCAUAAGAUGAGCCCAGAUGGGAUUAGCUAGUUGGUGGGGGAACGGAUCACCAAGGCGACGAUCCCUAGCUGGUCGGAGAGGAUGACCAGCCACAUUGGACCUGAGCCACGGUCCGGACUCCUACGGGAGGCAGCGUUGGGGAAUUUUGCACAAUGGGCGCAAGCCUGCUGCAGCCAGGCCGCGUGUAUGUAGAAGGCCUUCGGGUUGUAAAGUCCUUUCAUCGGGGAGGCGUUACCCGCAUAGGAAGCACCGGCUAACUCCGUGCCAGCAGCCGCGGUAAUUC